CCCCUUUUAGCGAUUUUUCGCAUUUGCUGUAGAUGACAUUCGACAGUUGAUUAUGGCAUGCAAGAGACAAGAUCUUGACAGAGAUGCUUCCUUACGCUUAAACAAACAUGAAUGCAGUAUAUUUACCUAAAGGAGAAUGAAAAUGUUUGGUGACAACUGUGUUUAUCAGGAGCGACAACAAUAGUUCAAAUUCUAAAAAUAUCCACCAACACAUCUUUUUUAUACGCCUGUCUAAGACAAAUGUUAUGGCACGAAGCGGGACAGGCGGACGGAUACGAUACCCUUCAGAAUGAACAGAAAAUGUGAAAAUAAAAAUGCAUCAUUUGAAA